rnacentral:lncRNA from 1 species
CAGAUCCUAGACAAUAAGCUGCAUAAAGAGAUUAUUAUUGCCUGAUGAUAAAAGAAACUCAAAACUAAAGUUUUGGAUAUAAGGAGAUUUUUUUUUUUUGCCAAAGCCAUUCAUAAACAUAUCUAUUCGAGUCUAAAGGUCUUGACUCUACUCAUACACUAAAAAAGGUCACAUAUCUAUUGAAAUAUUUGAAAUACUCAAUUACUAUGCACUAGUCUCUAUACAGUACAUAUGUAGAUGGUUUGCAUAUAAUUAUUGUUUUCCAUAGAGAUCCUUUUGGUAACAGAUACCAAUAUACAUCAAGAUGAGGUGAGAAAAGAUUUUUAGAUUGACAGUCUUUGCCCAAGGAAUUGAGUAUUUUUCUAUGUAAAGUCAAUGAACAACCUCAAAUGCAUUAGUACUUUCCCAUUUGCCUUUUCAAUUUUUUGAGUAUCUGUGUCUUUUUUUUUUCUUUUCCACAUUCUAAUCAUUCAUUUCUCUGAUUUGGAAUUUCACUGGAAAAGUGAGAAAUGGGACGGAAUCGAGGAAAAACUAAUCGUUCAACUCCACCAUCUUUUAUCUGCUGGUUAAAGACCUGAUAAGGAGAACAUUACAAUUAUAGCUAGAAUAAGGGUUUUGUAUUUCUAUGAAUUUCAAUUACUUGUACCAUCUCUGCUUAUGUUAGCAUGGAUAAUUGGAAGUUUGCUGCAUCAUGUAGAGUUAAGUGAUGCUAAUAAUUUAUUUCCUGUAAGACAGGAGAAAAACAAAUCUUCAUGCUUGCAAUGGAUGGGAAAAAAGAAUCUUAAGCUGGACAAUAAUUUUAAAAAUUAAUUUAUAAAGCUUAAAAUAAUAAAGGUUAAAAAAUCCCUCUUUUUGUUUUAUCUAUUAUUUUAAUGUUUCAAAAGAUGCACGCCUUCAUGAAUGCAGUUAAUUUCUUUAUUGACAUGGAUUGCAACUCUGCUUGCCCCUUAGGAGAUGAAUUUAAAACUCCAUGGGCUAGUUGGCAAAGAUCAGAUGAUACACCUCUUCAGAGAGACUGGUGCUCACUAAAUAGACACACUGUCACUUGGCUUGUAUGAUUCAUCGAUCUCUUUUAUGUCUUUUCAAGACAUCUGCUUUAUACAAAUAAACUAUGUCAUUCUGCUACUAGGAGCCUAAACUACUAGAAAAAUGUCAUUCCCUUGUGUUUUUUAUAAUUAUUUUUAAUUUUGGGUUUUGAAAUGCUUCUUGCUUUUGAAAUACUCUUUGAUUUUGGUUUUUACUAAGUUUAUUCAGGAGCAUAAGAAGUGAGGAUUCACUUAAUAAAAGAGUCUGGUCAUAGAAAGAAGCUUAUUUUGCUCUUCAUGGGCUUAAUCCCAUGGUUUUACAAGGUUACUAAAAGCUCUCUUGAGCUUAUUUUUUCCUAGACAACAGAAAUAUAGGAAAUUCUUAAAUCAAGGCCCACUCAAAAAUGAAUGCUCUUUAAUCCAUAAACAAGAAGUAGCAAGACUCAAUAUGAUUUUAAAAAAAUAAUCCAAGAAUAUAAAAAUUGAUACAUUGAUACAUAUAUACAUAUAUACCUAUACCUUGAUACAUACAUACACAGCCACUGUCUUCUAUAUUUCUAUGUACUGGGUACCGUAUAAUAGAUCUAGAUUCCCAAUUUCUAUUUCUUUUCUUUCCUGUCAUUGUCAUCUACAGUUUCCUAGUAAACCUUACUUUGUCAAAGUUCUAUUUUUAACAGGUGAUCAAUGAGCCUAUAUUAGAAAAGAAUGGGACUUAGAGUUGAUCUGUUUUGUUUCUUUUCAUGGAAACCUUAUCUUGAACUUCUCAGAAACUUCUCUCUUUCUACUGUACUUUAUAUUUCUUCAGAGAUCAAAACAAAUUGGAAUCCAAAUUUUGAUUUAAAAAAAUAUAUACAUAAAUAUAUACAUACACAUAAAUACACAACUGAAUAACCAUUCUAAAUAUAUAAAACUAUGACAAUCCAAAAUAGGGCAUAUGAAACAAAAAUUUAUAUGUAUAUACCCUUUUUAAUAAGAAGCAAAUUUGCAUCUGAUCACAGAGUAACCUUAUGCUUUUAUGACGUGGCAACUUGUACUUCAUGAUCAUCUGGGUGAGCCAAUGGAUAGCUUCCUCUUUGUGGUUUAAAUCAAGCCCCAAACAUUUACUUCCUGUGUCAAUCUGGACAAGUCACUUAAUCCUGUUUGUCUCAGUUACCUCAUCUGUAAAAUGAGCAAGAGAAGGAAAUGGCAAACUACUCCAGUGUCUUUGUCAAGAAAAUUCCAAAUUAGAUCAUAAAAAGCUGUACAUGAUGGAAAUGACAACUACAAAAAUAAAAAUGACUUUUUAAAAAUAACAUCCUUGUGCACUGUCACUUGAUUCUUAUAGCAAAUCUUUAGAGUAGCUAGUAAAAGCAUUAUCGAUCAUUUAACAGAUGAAGAAGCAGGAGUUUAGGACUCAGAGCUUAAAGAAAUUUAGUAAAUUAGGAUUACAGGGAAUCAGUCUUAGAAGAGCUCAGUAUAGAAUGCAGAUCCCCUAAUUUCUGGUCCUAAGC